rnacentral:rRNA from 1 species
UACGUAGGGUGCGAGCGUUGUCCGGAAUUACUGGGCGUAAAGAGUUCGUAGGCGGUUUGUCGCGUCGUUCGUGAAAACUUGGGGCUUAACUCCAAGCGUGCGGGCGAUACGGGCAGACUUGAGUACUACAGGGGAGACUGGAAUUCCUGGUGUAGCGGUGAAAUGCGCAGAUAUCAGGAGGAACACCGGUGGCGAAGGCGGGUCUCUGGGUAGUAACUGACGCUGGGGAACGAAAGCGUGGGUAGCGAACAGG